rnacentral:lncRNA from 1 species
CUGAACGUGGAAGUUUACUUGAGCGCAAUCUCUACAGGAGCCGCUGGGUCCAAGUCGCUGGAUUUGUACGCUGGUAGGAUUAUGGAGAGGGAUUUCCAACCUGGGUUUUAUGUGAAUCAUUUUGUCAAGGAUUUGGGCAUCUGUUUGAAAGAGUGUCAGAAUAUGGGACUUGUUUUGCCUGGUUUGGCUUUAGCUCAGCAGCUUUAUCUGUCGCUGAAGGCUCACGGGGAAGGCAAUUUGGGCACCCACGCUUUGAUUUUGGCUCUGGAGAGGCUUAACAAUGUUUCCCUGGCCAACUCUGCAGCUUGAACCAACUGUAUACUGUAGAAUUGAUGUUUCUGAUGAAAUUGUGAAUGGGAAUAAAUAAUUGUUCUGCUCUUUAUUCUGUUGUCCUACUUUCUUGAUGUUUAUGCUAACUGAACCUGAUAAGAACGACGUUGCAAACAGAAUUAGUUAAGAGAAGGAUUGACUUAUUCCUUCCCUCCUCUUACCUAGGAUCAUCAUCAAAAACGUAAGCUCAUGUCAUUUGCAGAUGGACAGCCAAGAUCAAACGCAAUGUCUAGAAGAAGUGGUAAAGUUAGUAUAGAGCCAGGAACCUUCUUCUUUACAGAAGGGUCAAAAGUUCUCGUUCAAAUUUGGCGACCAACCCACUUUCUGGUUAUAUCUGAUAUCAGGUAGGUACAUUGAACGCUGUUUUGGAGUAUCCUGUGCUGGAACAAGUCCCACGUGCUGGUAUGAAGCUUCCUUGGAUUUCCAGGUUUGAAACCAGCAACAUUGACUUUUGGCCUAAUGGAGUUCAGGUUUCUGUAGACUCACGGCUUCCAUCGUAAUCGAUGGUUUACCUGCAGAAGAAGCCAUUUCAUAAAGACUUAGUAAGUUGAAACAAGCAAAGCUGAACUCAGCGACUUGAAGAAACUUUGGCCAUAUUACUCCCGUACAGUAAAUAGCUUUCAGCUGCAGUUUUCCAAUACUUUUUUCUAGCACCGUAUCAACACAUACCAGAAACCAAAGACUUGGCCUUUCUCAAAAACCCAUCUUAUAUUUUUCCAUCGCCAUAGUUCCAGAGCACCAUAGCAAAACAAAAGGAGUUGGUGAAACAUUAUGUGUAUGCUCACCGUUUUAUUUACUCUUUUCUUCUUCUGCUGCCAUGGAAGUUCUCAGCUUCUUCAGGACGACCGUGGAAUCCUGCUGAGAAUGAAGCAACACUGGCAGAACCCACUGCCACUCUCUCACUGGUCACUGGCUCCUUCACCGGGCUCAUCUCCCUGCGACUGGCCGGAAGUUAACUGCUCGGGAAACUCUGUCACGGUGCUGAAUUUCAAUUCUCUGAAUAUCCCUGGUACGGUUCCACCAUUCAUAUGUGAUCUGAAGAACCUGACUUUUCUGGAUCUUUAUAACAACAGCAUCGUUGGAGCAUUCCCAACAGUUCUGUACAACUGUUCCAAUCUUGAGUACUUAAACCUUGGCCAAAACUACUUCGUCGGUCCGAUACCCGGUGAUGUUGAUCGUUUGGGUCGACUGAAUCACCUUGAUGUCUCUGGUAAUAACUUCUCCAGUGACAUCCCAUCUGCCAUUGGGAGGUUGAAGGAGUUGAAGGUUCUUUACCUUAACCAAAAUCAGUUCAAUGGAACUUUCCCGCAGGAAAUUGGCUCAUUAUCUAAAUUAGAAGAGUUGAAAUUGGCCCACAAUGGGUUUAUGCCUUCGUUGCUGCAUUCCAACUUUACCCAGCUGAAGAAUCUCAAGGUUCUGUGGGUUAACGAUGCGAAUCUGAUUGGGGAGAUACCGGAAAUGAUCGGAGAGAUGGAAGCAUUGGAGGGCUGGAUCGGCACCGGAGUCAUGGGCCGCUCUAUGUGUUCCCACCUCAUCAAAGCUGGCUAACCUCUCACAGUCUUCACCCGCACCGUUUCCAACGCCCAACCCCUCCUCGACAUCGGUGCCAAACUCGCCGAUUCCCCACUCGCCGUCGCUUCCCAAUCCGACGUCGUCUUCUCCAUCGUCGCCUUCCCCUCCGACGUCCGCCAGGUACUGCUCCACCCCACCUCCGGCGCCCUCCAGGGCCUCAAUCCAGGCGGGAUUCUCGUCGACAUGACCACAUCGGAACCCUCCCUCGCCGCUGAGAUCUCCGACGCUGCAUCGGCCAAAAACUGCCACUCGAUCGACGCGCCCGUCUCGGGCGGCGAUCGCGGUGCGAAGAGUGGGACCCUGGCGAUAUUCGCCGGCGGGGAUAGAUCCGUGGUAGAGAGGCUAAAUCCUUUAUUCGCCCUCAUGGGUAAGGUUAAUUACAUGGGCGCCCCAGGGAAGGGCCAAUUCGCUAAACUGGCGAAUCAGAUCACCAUAGCUUCGGCGAUGGUUGGGUUGGUGGAAGGGAUGAUAUAUGCUUACAAGGCUGGCCUGAACGUGGAAGUUUACUUGAGCGCAAUCUCUACAGGAGCCGCUGGGUCCAAGUCGCUGGAUUUGUACGCUGGUAGGAUUAUGGAGAGGGAUUUCCAACCUGGGUUUUAUGUGAAUCAUUUUGUCAAGGAUUUGGGCAUCUGUUUGAAAGAGUGUCAGAAUAUGGGACUUGUUUUGCCUGGUUUGGCUUUAGCUCAGCAGCUUUAUCUGUCGCUGAAGGCUCACGGGGAAGGCAAUUUGGGCACCCAGGCUUUGAUUUUGGCUCUGGAGAGGCUUAACAAUGUUUCCCUGGCCAACUCUGCAGCUUGAACCAACUGUAUACUGUAGAAUUGAUGUUUCUGAUGAAAUUGUGAAUGGGAAUAAAUAAUUGUUCUGCUCUUUAUUCUGUUGUCC